GAGAUUAUUCCAGCUUAAGAACUGAAAAAAGAAAUAUUUAUGUCUUCACUCCUCAAACAUCCAUCAUGAAAAGAAGAAUCAAGAGAACAAAAAAAAAAGAAACAGAAGAAAAAGAAAACAAGUUCAGGCAUGGAAGUUGCAAUUAGCUCAAGAUGCGGUUCGCCAUUGCAGCUCGACUUGAAGGCGACCGUUCUUUGAAUCAAUGAGGUGGUACUUCUCAUUGAUCCUUUUGUUGCUAACAACAUCGGAAAGAUUUAUAUCAACAUAACCCAAUGUCUCCUUAGGAUGCAAUAGGCCAAUCCUUGUAGAGGUGCUGACAACUUCCAUAUGCACCCUAUCAUUCACAGGAGGCUCCUCCAACACAAAAGUAAACUCCUCUUCCCAUCUUGGAUCCCUGUUCUUCUUGACUUGCUUAGUUUUUCUCUCCUCUCCUUUGAAAAGAAUCUUGACAUAUGGAUUAGUAUGGUGCUUUCCUUCAACAUCU
rnacentral:misc_RNA from 1 species